UGUGGACUUCUGCUUGAAACAGUACACAGUGUUUCGUCAUUCAUGACCUCAUUAGGCACGCGUGAAGUCCUACAACAGAAUCAAUGCAAUUAUCUUUUGUUUGUGUAUGCGUGUUAAUGUGUAUAUGAACUUCAUUGUUUACAUGUAUUUAAUCUUAAUUUAUUGAUCAAUCACACCAUACUCGUAUUCAUUUUACAAAUUAGCAACAUUUGUGGAAUUACUAGCACAUUUAAUGUGUUCCAUUUCUUACGAGUGGUUUUAUCAUUCGUUUCUGUUAGACAAAUUUGCAUUACGUGAUUUGUUUUUCGAGUCACGCAGACCAUCAAAUGUCUGUUAUUUUUACAAUAAACGGGUUUUAUUUUUC
rnacentral:misc_RNA from 1 species